CUCAUGUACUUUCCUCCAAUACUCCAACAUUACGUCUCAGGAGUAUUCGAUUCACCCGACUGCGAAAUCAACAGUAUAGAAGAUACAAAUCACGCUGUUGUUAUCGUUGGCCAUUACAGAGAUUCGUGGAUUCUUCGCAACAGUGCAGGCAGCCAAUGGGGAUUGAACGGUCACUUUCUGGUCAAAAAGGAAGAUGCGGAAUAGGUUUGUCAAGUUUUGAAGUACAUGCGCCGUAUCAUGUGCUACGCACGCCGAAAAGGAAGUUUGGUUCCUGAAUCCCAUGAGUGGAGUGCAACAGGAAGGGUCACGUGAAGUCAUACCAAUAAGUAUGAAGAUACACAAUGCACGGCGAGAUUACUUCCUCAGGCUACUCUGGUAAAAAAAUUGGCGGGGAAAAAUAAUUCAGCAUACGAUUACUCGAUUUUGAGCCAAAAUGCAUUAAGUAUUUAAAAUAAACAUCUAAAAUCUAUCAGUGUAUUUACGUAAUCAUCCUUAUAUAUUAAUUUAUUUUUUACCGUAUGAUUUCAUUAAGUUUAUUGAUCGAAAAUUUGCUCUAUAAACUGGAAAUUAUUAUUGACAAAUUUGCUAGUUCUGUCUGUGGAGGAGGAAACACGUAAAUAAAACCAAU
rnacentral:lncRNA from 1 species